AUUGAACGCUGGCGGCAUGCCUUACACAUGCAAGUCGAACGGCAGCGGGCCUUCGGGUGCCGGCGAGUGGCGAACGGGUGAGUAAUGCAUCGGAACGUGCCAUUGAGUGGGGGAUAACGUAGCGAAAGUUACGCUAAUACCGCAUAUUCUGUGAGCAGGAAAGCAGGGGACCGCAAGGCCUUGCGCUCUUUGAGCGGCCGAUGUCAGAUUAGCUAGUUGGUGAGGUAAAGGCUUACCAAGGCGACGAUCUGUAGCGGGUCUGAGAGGAUGAUCCGCCACACUGGAACUGAGACACGGUCCAGACUCCUACGGGAGGCAGCAGUGGGGAAUUUUGGACAAUGGGCGCAAGCCUGAUCCAGCCAUGCCGCGUGAGUGAAGAAGGCCUCGGUUGGUUAAAGGAC
rnacentral:rRNA from 1 species